CAGUCUGCGUGGAGCCGACCUUGAAAUACCACCCUUUAAUGUUUGAUGUUCUAACGUGGACCCGUUACCCGGGUUGCGGACAGUGUCUGGUGGGUAGUUUGACUGGGGCGGUCUCCUCCUAAAGAGUAACGGAGGAGCACGAAGGUUGGCUAAUCCUGGUCGGACAUCAGGAGGUUAGUGCAAUGGCAUAAGCCAGCUUGACUGCGAGCGUGACGGCGCGAGCAGGUGCGAAAGCAGGUCAUAGUGAUCCGGUGGUUCUGAAUGGAAGGGCCAUCGCUCAACGGAUAAAAGGUACUCCGGGGAUAACAGGCUGAUACCGCCCAAGAGUUCAUAUCGACGGCGGUGUUUGGCACCUCGAUGUCGGCUCAUCACAUCCUGGGGCUGAAGUAGGUCCCAAGGGUAUGGCUGUUCGCCAUUUAAAGUGGUACGCGAGCUGGGUUUAGAACGUCGUGAGACAGUUCGGUCCCUAUCUGCCGUGGGCGCUGGAGAACUGAGGGGGGCUGCUCCUAGUACGAGAGGACCGGAGUGGACGCAUCACUGGUGUUCGGGUUGUCAUGCCAAUGGCACUGCCCGGUAGCUAAAUGCGGAAGAGAUAAGUGCUGAAAGCAUCUAAGCACGAAACUUGCCCCGA
rnacentral:rRNA from 1 species